rnacentral:rRNA from 1 species
UACGUAGGGUGCAAGCGUUGUCCGGAAUUAUUGGGCGUAAAGAGCUCGUAGGCGGUCUGUCGCGUCGGCUGUGAAAACCCGGAGCUCAACUCCGGGCCUGCAGUCGAUACGGGCAGACUGGAGUUCGGCAGGGGAGACUGGAAUUCCUGGUGUAGCGGUGAAAUGCGCAGAUAUCAGGAGGAACACCGGUGGCGAAGGCGGGUCUCUGGGCCGUAACUGACGCUGAGGAGCGAAAGCGUGGGGAGCGAACAGG